rnacentral:tRNA from 1 species
GGUCUGUAGCUUAGUGGCAGAGUGCCUGCCUUGCAUGUGUGAGGCACUGAGUUCAAUCCUCAGCACCG